UUCAUGACUGGGGUGAAGUCGUAACAAGGUAGCGCUAGGGGAACCUGGCGCUGGAUCACCUCCUUAUACGAAGAU
rnacentral:rRNA from 1 species